GAGAGAUAGGCAUGCGCUAGGAACUGCUAAUCCCUUAGCCCCAUGGUUCGAACCCAUGGCUCACUUA
rnacentral:tRNA from 1 species